GAGAGUAUUUGGGUUAUCCUGCCACCAUGUGGGGUCUGGGAGUUCUCCUGUUUCAUCUUGUCUGUGGACACUUGCCCUUCUGUAAUGAGGAUGAGAUCGUUUACAGGAAGAUGGACUUCGCUCCCGGCCUGUCUGAAGGUUGCCACAAUCUGAUCAAUUGGUGUCUGGACCCGGAACCUGAAUGUCGGCCCACGUUUGAAGAAAUCCUCAGCCAUCAGUGGUUUACAUCUGGUGGACCUGAGUGAAGGAUCUGAGUCCAUUUGGAUGUCCACUGUUGUGUUACGCCUCGUGAAGGAGCAUGUCCAGGAGAUGCUGAAGGCCAUGGAGGGAGUCUGAGCAACACUCCUCUAACACACACACACACACCUCUCUAUCUCAGCCAACUUAGAGUGAUCAG